rnacentral:ncRNA from 1 species
GUCUUCAGGGCAGGGUGAAAUUCCCGAUCGGCGGUAAAGUCCGCGAGCGCUCCGGCGCAGGAUUUGGUGCGAUUCCAAAACCGACAGUUACAGUCUGGAUGGAAGAAGAU